UCAUAGUAGAAAGGAUUGAGGCUGUACAUGGCCCAACACCAUGUGAGUCACGCUCAUUAAAUCUGAGCUAGCUUCUGCUACUGCUAAGUCCAACCCACUAGCUGCAGAGGUGGAUGCUGAACCUUCAGCCUGCCACCAUUCCUCAGAGAAGCCACAUGGUGGUCGUUCAACCACAUCUAACCCCUGACACCUGGGAGGGGGCAGCAGUUCAUCUUACUGGAGUCAACACAUACUUCGGAUACAACACAUACUUGCCUGUUUGAGUGCUUCUCCUAGCAUUACCAUCUGAUCCAUCAACACUGUAGCUCCCACGAAUUGCCUCAGGCCACGGAACCCAUUUUUUGACAAAAAAAUAAAAAUAGAAAAAGAACAGUGACUCAUAGACUCAUGACCAAAGGGUUACAAGUACUUUAUCACCCAGUGGUAGCCUGCCUGCUUAAAUGGUUGGACAGCCUAUCGAAGGCUUGGGCGCGAUCUCUUGUACUGUUGGAGCACUGUAUUCUGGGGAGUAGUAGAUGUAUCCAGCCACCGGCUGGUAUAUGCUACUUGAUCUCCAGUAGCUAGAGUAUAUGGGUCCAUGAAGGUUGGAAGUAAGGGUGUCUCUACUGACUGUCACACAUGCACACACGUAUACGAUGAAUAUAAUGACCAUGCUGUAAAGCAUACAUUCAAAACCCUGGAGACUGCAAACAUGCCUUCCAUUUAAAGCAGUGUGUUACAUUUAUGCUGAUUUAAUCAUUAACAUUAGUAAGAGGCCAGUUAUACUGUUCAAGAGUUAAGAUGUUUUACGAGAAAAUGACGAAAAGAUACAUGUAAUCAUUGCAAUGCCAGUUUACCAUCAGAUAGGAUGUGCAAUAAUCCCUUUAGCAAGCUUAAGCUUUUACAUAUUAAUGGCAGUAUUGGAGAGCAGGAAGAUGCCUUUUACGGCACUGCUGAGGUCCUUACAAUAAAGAAAUGCCUUUGCUACUUGGCCCUAUUACUGGAAUGUGCUGGGAGAAUAAUGCUGUUUCGUGGGCUCGUCCCUCCCCAUGACUGGGGCCUGGGGUGGUUUUUUAAAAGCAAUGCUGUAUAGCAAUUAAUAAUGAGGAGGGGAAAAAUUCAUUUAGACGUUUGGCAACAUCUUUGUGGCACUCAGUAUGGGUCUCAUAUAGAGUAGAUUUGCCCUGCAGAGAAACACUAGAAACGCUUUAUUCUUAAACAUACGAUUAACCAGCUGCCAGAGACAAUAAAACAUUUAAAACUUCUAUUCCAGGGACCAAGUCACCAUCUAUAGGUCUCAGAGCUACUAAAAUGUAUUUUCAAAUGAGCUGCAGGGCACGAUGCAUGUUUCCUCAUGCGUAAAACAAAGGCCUUGGGUUAGAUUAUGGCCCCGCCAGUCCCCUCCGGACUACAGUACUUCACGAUGUAAAGGCAAAUCAAAUAGCAAAGAAAAGCAACCUGUUGACUUUGUGAAUAAGAAACUAAAGAAAAUAAAUCAAUAGUAAGUCAGAAGGAAAAUGUCUUUCUUGGUUAAACAUUGAAGGCUACUCUCAUCCAUUCUGAAAGAGAAGCUGAGGAAAUAUCUGGAGAUAUUCAUUUCCUGGGUAUCGCAAUAUACUGGACAAAGUAUCUAUCUUUUCUUUUGAGCUUGAAAGAUUACAGAGAUGACAACCCACAUGUCAAUCAAGAACGAAAAGGAUAACUAAAUGUGGACGUCUAUUCAGCAAUGACAAUGAGCAAGGAACAACACAGGUGCAUCUCAUGAAUACAACAUCGUGAGAAAGAAAGCCACAAAAGAGCACCGACUGCACGAUUCCACUUGUUACCGUUCAGAAACAGGAUCACUGGACUCUAUUGUUGAGGAUGCAGACAUAGGUGGUGAAAUCGUAGGAGAGAAGUCAGGCCAUAAGCAUCGCACAGCUCAGGAUGGAGAAAGAAUCUCUGGGAAAGGAUGGAAUUGACUAGAAUUUAAAAAGAGAAGCCCUACUACCCUGUUGUUAUUAAUUACCAUAUGAUGGAUAAAGGAACUUGGCUUUGGAAAGUAUCACUCUAUGAUACCCUGCAGAAAGAAUAUUUAAGUCAUGGCCUUGCUUUGUGCCGUGGGAGGAUGACCCUUGUGGACCACAUCUCCUGAGCUCCCUUGCUGGUGGACUUAUGAUUAGAUUUGGCCAAUAUCUGGAGAUCAGAGGGAUUUAACUCAAUGCAGGCGGGGAUUUUUGUUUUCCUCCAUGCUGUAUUUCAGCUCCUGGAAUAGGCCUGGCACACAUAAGAGUGUUUGAGAAAUACUGAUGGAAUGAAUGAAUGGGUGAGUGAAUGAAUUUUCUGCACUCCUUUUAAACCAGACAAGAAUAUCCAAGUUUUAAAGUGCUUCUUAAA